UACAGAGGUCCCGAGCGUUGUUCGGAUUCACUGGGCGUAAAGGGUGCGCAGGUGGGUUGGCAAGUUUGAUGUGAAAGCCCCGGGCUUAACCCGGGAAUGGCAUUGAAUACUGCUGAUCUGGAGGAUUGGAGGGGGGACUGGAAUUCUUGGUGUAGCAGUGAAAUGCGUAGAUAUCAAGAGGAACACCAGUGGCGAAGGCGAGUCCCUGGACAAUACCUGACACUGAGGCACGAAAGCCAAGGGAGCAAACAGG
rnacentral:rRNA from 1 species